CAGUAAGGAGCGCUGCGGUGAUGGAGCAAGAUGGGAGAAAGAAUAUUCGGCUCCAUGACGACGGCUAGCCACCCAUGCCUGCCCGGGUUAGAUAAUACAAGCUCAAAGCCGUGAGGAAUCAGCUGGGAUUGUCCGCGAGAUAACAUCGGCGAUUGCGUAUAGCCGUGUCACAAAGCUGACAUGGGCAAGAAAACGCCGAGAAACCGAAAAGGACAUCCCAUCUACACCAGAGAAGACAUACGCG